rnacentral:rRNA from 1 species
UACGGAGGGUGCAAGCGUUGUUCGGAAUUAUUGGGCGUAAAGAGCUCGUAGGCGGCUUGUCACGUCGGGUGUGAAAGCCCGGGGCUUAACCCCGGGUCUGCAUUCGAUACGGGCAGGCUAGAGUGUGGUAGGGGAGAUCGGAAUUCCUGGUGUAGCGGUGAAAUGCGCAGAUAUCAGGAGGAACACCGGUGGCGAAGGCGGAUCUCUGGGCCAUUACUGACGCUGAGGAGCGAAAGCGUGGGGAGCGAACAGG